rnacentral:ncRNA from 2 species
AAUAUUAAAUAUCUACUUACUCAUAUAAGCUUAGAGAUAUGGUCUAGGCGUUUCUACCAAAUACCGUAAAUAUUUGACUAUGAGUAGUCCUGAGUGCACA